AUUGCGCUGGAUCACACUGGGGUGAAGGUAAAAGACGCGACAGCCGCAGAAUUAGACUAUGAUGUACCCGUGCUCCGUAGCUUCGGCCACAUUGCACCACCGAAAAUACUAAAUGUUCUGGAGAUUCACCCAUGUCCAAUCGCCAACAAGGCACCGUCAAGUGGUUCAAUGAUGAGAAAGGCUUCGGCUUCAUCACCCCAGCAGGCGGCGGCGACGACCUGUUCGUUCACUUCAAAGCCAUCGAAUCUGACGGCUUCAAGAGCCUGAAAGAAGGCCAAACUGUUUCCUUCGUCGCCGAGCGCGGCCAGAAGGGCAUGCAGGCUGCGCAGGUUCGUCCGGAGUAAUUCGGAUAGCCGUAAAAAAACCCGCCCUCGUGGCGGGUUUUUUUUG
rnacentral:misc_RNA from 1 species